rnacentral:rRNA from 1 species
UACGGAGGGGGCUAGCGUUGUUCGGAAUUACUGGGCGUAAAGCGCACGUAGGCGGAUUAUUAAGUCGGGGGUGAAAUCCCGGGGCUCAACCCCGGAACUGCCUUCGAUACUGGUAGUCUAGAGUUCUGGAGAGGUGAGUGGAAUUCCGAGUGUAGAGGUGAAAUUCGUAGAUAUUCGGAGGAACACCAGUGGCGAAGGCGGCUCACUGGCCAGACACUGACGCUGAGGUGCGAAAGCGUGGGGAGCAAAC